rnacentral:rRNA from 1 species
UGAGGAAUAUUGGUCAAUGGAGGCAACUCUGAACCAGCCAUGCCGCGUGAAGGAUGAAGGUCCUCUGGAUUGUAAACUUCUUUUAUAGAAGAAGAAACCCCAGUAUUCUUACUGGGUUGACGGUACUCUAUGAAUAAGCACCGGCUAACUCCGUGCCAGCAGCCGCGGUAAUACGGAGGGUGCAAGCGUUAUCCGGAUUCACUGGGUUUAAAGGGAGCGUAGGUGGGUCGGUAAGUCAGUGGUGAAAUCCCCGAGCUUAACUUGGGAACUGCCAUUGAUACUAUCGAUCUUGAAUACUGUGGAGGUAAGCGGAAUAUAUCAUGUAGCGGUGAAAUGCUUAGAUAUGAUAUAGAACACCGAUAGCGAAGGCAGCUUACUACGCAGUUAUUGACACUGAGGCUCGAAAGCGUGGGGAUCAAACA